AAUGUACUGUUUAAUAAACGAGUAGGAGUGUUUUAUCACAUAUAAAACACGACGCGUAGCGGAGUGUUUUAUAUGUGAUAAAACACGAACUACGAGUUUAUUAAACAGCUUCAAAAACGUCUCAGUUAGAUCACGGCAUUGGUGAAAUAAUUUUCCAAAAUAACUUUGUAUUAGCUGAGAAAAUACAAGUUGAAAUUUGUAGCGUGUUUUAUCACAUAUAAAGACACGCCACGCUUAUGAUUUCUCUUUGUGUUUUCCUCAUGAAUUAUUAAUGAGUUUUUGAAGAUAUAU